rnacentral:rRNA from 1 species
GAUGAACGCUGGCGGCGUGCCUAACACAUGCAAGUCGAGCGGCAGCGAGGGGUGCUUGCACCCUGUCGGCGAGCGGCGGACGGCUGAGUAACGCGUGGGAACGUGCCCCAAAGUGAGGAAUAACUGCCCGAAAGGGUAGCUAAUACCGCAUAUUAUCUUCGGAUCAAAGGAUUUAUCCGCUUUGGGAGCGGCUCGCGUCGGAUUAGGUAGUUUGUGAGGUAAUGGCUCACCAAGCCGACGACCCGUAGCUGGUCUGAGAGGAUGACCAGCCAGACUGGAACUGAGACACAGUCCAGAAUCCUACGGGAGGCAGCAGUGAGGAAUCUUCCACAAUGGGCGAAAGCCUGAUGGAGCAACGCCGCGUGCAGGACGAAGGCCUUCGGGUUGUAAACUGCUUUUAUAAGUGAGGAAUAUGACGGUAACUUAUGAAUAAGGAUCGGCUAACUACGUG